AAUUUUCCUCAAAAGUUCUCAUAUCAUUUAGAAAUUUUACACCUUAAAUGUAAUUUUGCUAUUUUUAGCUAUUAAUGUGGGACUUUUACUCGCACACCCAAUAUCCGUGACCUGAAAUCUAUCACAGCCUACCAAGUGACACUGUCCGUCAGUAACUCAAUGGAAAUUGGGGUGAGGACAUGGUGAGACAGCAUGCCCC
rnacentral:lncRNA from 1 species